rnacentral:rRNA from 1 species
GGUCCUACGGGAGGCAGCAGUGGGGAAUAUUGGACAAUGGGCGAAAGCCUGAUCCAGCCAUGUCGCAUGAGUGAAGAAGGCCUUUGGGUUGUAAAGCUCUUUUAGUGAGGAAGAUAAUGACGGUACUCACAGAAGAAGUCCUGGCUAACUCCGUGCCAGCAGCCGCGGUAAUACGGAGAGGGCUAGCGUUAUUCGGAAUUAUUGGGCGUAAAGGGCGCGUAGGCUGAUUAAUAAGUUAAAAGUGAAAUCCCGAGGCUUAACCUUGGAAUUGCUUUUAAAACUAUUAAUCUAGAGAUUGAAAGGGGAUAGAGGAAUUCCUGAUGUAGAGGUAAAAUUCGUAAAUAUUAGGAGGAACACCAGUGGCGAAGGCAUCUAUCUGGUUCAAAUCUGACGCUGAGGCGCGAAGGCGUGGGGAGCAAACAGGAUUAGAUACCCUGGUAGUCCACGCUGUAAACGAUGAAUGUUAAAUAUGGGAAGUUUACUUUCUGUAUUACAGCUAACGCGUUAAACAUUCCGCCUGGGGACUACGGUCGCAAGAUUAAAACUCAAAUGAAUUGAC